UACGGGGGGAGCAAGCGUUGUUCGGAUUUACUGGGCGUAAAGGGCGCGUAGGCGGUCGUGACAAGUCACUUGUGAAAUCUCCGGGCUUAACUCGGAACGGUCAACUGAUACUGUGCGACUAGAGUGCGGAAGGGGCAACUGGAAUUCUUGGUGUAGCGGUGAAAUGCGUAGAUAUCAAGAGGAACACCUGAGGUGAAGACGGGUUGCUGGGCUGACACUGACGCUGAGUGCGCGAAAGCCAGGGGAGCAAACGGG
rnacentral:rRNA from 1 species